GUCGCAAUAACUGAGUGGUAAAGUGCUUGGCUUUUGAACUAGGGGUACCAGGUUCAAAUCUUAGUAAAGACU
rnacentral:tRNA from 1 species